AGCGAACGCUGGCGGCAGGCCUAACACAUGCAAGUCGAACGAAGUCUUCGGACUUAGCGGCGGACGGGUGAGUAACACGUGGGAACGUGCCUUUAGGUUCGGAAUAACUCAGGGAAACUUGUGCUAAUACCGAAUGUGCCCUUCGGGGGAAAGAUUUAUCGCCUUUAGAGCGGCCCGCGUCUGAUUAGCUAGUUGAUGAGGUAAAGGCUCACCAAGGCGACGAUCAGUAGCUGGUCUGAGAGGAUGAUCAGCCACAUUGGGACUGAGACACGGCCCAAACUCCUACGGGAGGCAGCAGUGGGGAAUCUUGCGCAAUGGGCGAAAGCCUGACGCAGCCAUGCCGCGUGAAUGAUGAAGGUCUUAGGAUUGUAAAAUUCUUUCACCGGGGACGAUAAUGACGGUACCCGGAGAAGAAGCCCCGGCUAACUUCGUGCCAGCCGCCGCAGUAAGAC
rnacentral:rRNA from 1 species